CGAGUGAAAAUACUGUUUUGUUGCCGAUACUGUAAUUACAUUUAAUAAUCAUUUUAAUCGCAAUUGAAUCGGGUCGACCAACGAAAACGAAAUAAGGCUACAGUCAUGCAGACGCGAAUUUAGAGCGCCCGAGCAAUUUCUGACGUCAUCGAAUUCGCAAGGUAUGUUUAGCGAGCGAAUUUUUAAGUUCUCGCUCUCGUCGUAUGUGAUUAUACAGAAAGCAAUGUCAGAUACGAGAGAGAAACGCAUUUUUGCUCUCGUGUGCGAUAUUUCGAGUUUCUCACGUCUGCAUGAUCGCAUCUGCGCGAGCGUGAUGACGUCAGAAAAAGCUCGCAGCUCUAAAUUCGCGUCUGUAUCUGUACUACCGUAUCUGUAAAAUUAAACUAUUUUAAUGACAUUACUAUAUCAUAUUUUAUAAUAUCGUUUUAAU
rnacentral:lncRNA from 1 species